rnacentral:rRNA from 1 species
GUCUAAAGCCAUGCCACCCUGAAUGUGCCGGAUCCUAUCUGAUCUUGGAAGCUAAGCAGGGUUGGGCCUGGUUGGUACUUGGAUAGGAGACCACCUACAAAGACCAGGUGCUUUAGGCA